rnacentral:lncRNA from 1 species
GUUGCCCAGUAGAUACAACCCAAGAGGGGGAGUGAAUUGGGUCUUUUAAAACUUUUAUGCUACUUCUAAAACUUUAUGAUUAACUAUGCUAAGUUGUAUAGAUGCACAGUGAAAGUUAAACUUAGCAAGGGUUUGAUGUAUAGACUUCGACUUGAUUAAAUAUGCUUGCAACUAAAGGAUGUGCGGAUAAGAAUUAAGCAAGC